AUGGCUCAGGAUGAACGCUGGCGGCGUGCUUAACACAUGCAAGUCGAACGAGGCUUAAGAUUCGGUUUAAGCCGAGUGGCGGACGGGUGAGUAACGCGUGGGUAACCUGGCCGUAUGCAGGGGGACAACAGUUAGAAAUGACUGCUAAUACCGCAGUAAGCUUACAGUAUCGCAUGAUACAGUGAGAAAAGAUUUAGUCGGCAUACGAUGGACCCGCGUCUGAUUAGGCUAGUUGGUCGAGGUAACGGCCCACCAAGGCGACGAUCAGUAGCCGACCUGAGAGGGUGACCGGCCACAUUGGGACUGAGACACGGCCCAAGCUCCUACGGGAGGCAGCAGUGGGGGAAUAUUGCACAAUGGGCGCAAGCCUGAUGCAAGCGACGCCGCGUGAGUGAUGAAGUAUUUCGGUACGUAAAGGCUCUAUCAGCAGGGAAGAUAAUGACGGUACCUGACUAAGAAGCCCCGGCUAACUACGUGCCAGCCGCGGC
rnacentral:rRNA from 1 species